GGCCAGGUAGCUCAGUUGGUAGAGCGUCCGCCUGAAAAGCGGAAGGUCGCCGGUUCGAUCCCGGCCUUGGCCAC
rnacentral:tRNA from 1 species